UACGGGGGGGGCAAGCGUUGUUCGGAAUUACUGGGCGUAAAGGGCGCGUAGGCGGCCACCGCAAGUCAGUUGUGAAAUCUCUGGGCUUAACCCAGAAAGGUCAACUGAUACUGCGGGGCUAGAGUGCAGAAGGGGCAACUGGAAUUCUCGGUGUAGCGGUGAAAUGCGUAGAUAUGCGGAGGAACACCGAUGGCGAAGGCAAUCCCCUGGGCCUGCACUGACGCUCAUGCACGAAAGCGUGGGGAGCAAACAGG
rnacentral:rRNA from 1 species